GUUUAGACAAGGAAACUAUAAGAGUAAGAGGAUAUAAUAGGAAAAGGAACAAUACAGACAUAGGGAGAAAGCAGAACCUAUAAAUGGGAUUAUAGGUAAGUAUAAUAGUAAGAGGAAAACCUAUACGUGAAAUAAUAGGUUAGGAGGAAGAAGGAGUGGUUAUAAAAAUAACGAGUAAGGCAAUAUGCCCCAAGUAGCUCAUCAGG